rnacentral:lncRNA from 1 species
ACUCUGUUCUUGCCAGAGUUGACGAUGUUAGAAGAGAGAUUACCUCAUUCCAUUGAUGCGUGUAUUGAUCCCGGAGAAGCCCUCUAGUCAGACUUCGCCAAAUUUGGUUUGAGUAAGAGUAUGUAAAGAAGAGAUGUUCCCUCGUUUCCAUCGGAGCAGAGCAGAAAACACAUGAGGUAGCCAGACCUUGCCCCCAGCGAGCCAUGCAUUCCCCUGUUGACAGCCGGUUCAACAUUGCGAGCCAAGUAAUGAAAGCAAACUUAGGCGUAGCAUUUUGGAACCACACCAUGUAGCUCCACGCCUUCCUCGUAGUUGGUGAUCUGAGAUUUUGCCAAGUGUUUUUUGAAGAGAAGGAGGGUCUGUACGUAUCAUUUUUCC